GGGGAGGACAAAUUAGGAGGAUGGGAAUAGAACAUACACACAACUGUAUAUAAAAUAGAUAAUUAACAAGGGUCUACUGUAUAGCACAGGGAAAUCUACUCAAUAGUCUGUAAUAACCUAUAUGGGAAAAAAUGAUAUAUGUAUAUGUAAAACUGAUUCACUUUGCUGUACACCUGAAACGAAGAUAACAUUGUAAGUCUACUCCAAUAAAAUUUUAAAAAUAAUAAUAUUAAAAAAUAAAAACUGUACUAUUAAAAAAAAAAAAGGAGUUCCCAUUGUGGUUCAGUGGCAACAAAUCCGACUCAUGAGGAUGCGGUUGGAUCCCUGGCCUCUCUCAGUGGGUUUAAGGAUCUGGCAUUGCUAUGAGCUGUGGUGUGGAUUGCAGAUGUAGCUCGGAGCCCCUGCUGCUGUGGCUGUGGUGUAGGCUGGCAGCUGCAGCUCCAAUUCGAUCCCCUAACCUGGGAACCUCCAUAAGCCACAUGCGCAGCCCUUAAAAAAAAAAAGAAAGAAAUAAAGCUUCUGGUCUGUGGUCCCCCAACCUCUUUCCCAGCAUGCCUUCUGUGUGCGUAGAGGGGCAGGGCAGCCACUUCCUCUAUGGUUUGUCUUACUUCUCCCUUACGUCCAGUUCUAUUUGAACUUUGACACUCAAGGCAGGACUGGAGAGAGCAAGGGAGAGAUGAUCUAGAAUUUUCUGUUCCUGGUGCUGUCUCAAGCCCCUCAGGAUUCAGCACAGCUGGGCAGUAUCAGAUGGUGACCCUGACACCAGCCCCUUCUCUAAUUUCUCCUCAACCCCUUGGUGAGAUAAACCUUCCUUAGGGCCUGGUGGGGUAACAUCACUUUUCUAUCCAAAACUCCAGUGGGCACCAUACUGUCUCUUGGGUAAAAUCCUCUCUUCAGCCUCGAGUCAAAGCCUUUCCUGUGGAGCCCAAACUCUUUUUCCAACCUUGUCACCAGCACUUCUCUACAUUGGUCUAUUUGUCCUCCAAAAAUACAAUUUGCCCAUCCACUCAUUCAUUCAUUCGUAUUCACCAUGAACAGAGACUGAGAGGGAUGAAAAUCUUCUUUCCUUCAGUGAAGGAGCAGAAACAGGAGGCAAGGAGGGAGCUACACACCCAUUGACAGAUGCUGACAUGUGAGGUGGCCUUGCACUUAAAAAAAUUUUUUUGGGCAUUGUCUUACUGAGGCAUGGGUUUGAUCCUUGGUCUAGAAAUUUUGCAUGCUGUGGGCAUGGCCAAAAAAUGCAUGACUUCCAAUCUAGGAUUAUUGUUAUUCAUUUUUCAUAAAAUUGCCUGCAAUCCCCUUUAAAGUUAAUAAAUUUGACAUUUUGGACACUUUCAAACAAACUUUCAAUUGACCAUUUUUAAAUUUAAAUUUAAAUUUUUUUUGCUUUUAGGACCACACUUACGGCAUAUGGAAGUUGCCAGGCUAGGGGUCCAAUCGGAGCUGCAGCACAGCCAAAGCAACAGGGAAUCUGAGCUGCGUCUGCGACCUACACAGCAGUUUUGAGGCCAGGGAUCUAACCCAUGUCCUCAUGGAUGCUAGUCAGGUUCGUUACCACUGAGCCAUCAUAGGAGCUCCGUUGACCAAAUUUUUAAAUGAGAAUUUACCCUCUGUAAUAAGUGCCUGGUAAGCACGGAGAAACUCUGUAAAUAACGGCUAUUCUCCAUUCUGAUUUUUUUUUUUUUUUUUUUUUUUUUUUAGGGUUGCACUUUUGGCAUAUGGAGAUUCCCAGGCCAGGGGUCUAAUUGGAGCUGUAGCCGCCAGUCUACACCACAGCCACAGCAACACAGGAUCCAAGCUGCGUCUGUGACCUACACCAUAGCUCACGGCAAUGCCAGAUCUUUAACCCACUGAGCAAGGCCAAGGAUCGAACCUGCAACCUCAUGGUUCCUAGUCGGAUUCAUUAGCCACUGAGCCACGAUGGGAACUCCAUCCAUUCUGAUUUUAUAUAUUACAAUCUGUAAAUCUUUCACGGGCUGAGUUCCUACAGGAACACUUAGCAGCCAGGAUGGGUGUAACGGUGAGAGGCCAGCUGGGAGUAAGCCUUUCAUUAGCUGCUUGCCCUCAGGCAGGGGCUUCGCCUUCCUCCCCCAACUCUGUAAGGCAAGAAUAUUCUACCCAGCUGGCACCCAGCUGGCAUGUGUAGUGAGGAUUGCACAACAGGGUACACAGCAGGCCCAGCACAGUGCUGACACUUAGAGGUGCUCAAUUAAUUAGCACUAUGGUUACUCCUGGUGCCGGCCCCACCUGGACACUCACUAUUGGUUCCACCUCCUGCCUCUCAGAACAGCCCUGCUCCUUUGCUUCCUGCCUCGGCAGAAGCCACAGAGAUCUUCGGCAGGUGGUAUUAUUCACGUGUACGGUGUUUACUCUGUGCCCAGCACUGUUCUAAGCACUUGAUGUCAAGAUUAAUGAACUGAUUUCCACCCAGCAGCCUCUAGGAGAGAUGCAGCUACUUCGUGAUACGGAUCAUGAUGCCUGAAGAUAGCCAGGUCGUGAGCGGUGGAGCUGGGCUCCUCAGCUUGCAGGCUUUCUCACUGAUCAUCCCUUUGUCCCUCCAGAUGCUCUCCUCACCCUUUUCCAUCCUGUGCCAUGUCCUGUGGAGAAAGGCCUCUGCCACCAAUCCUGCAGGGACCAUUGCCCUUGACCUCUGGCUGCCUUUUGGUGCUGGCCAAUGGGGCGCCCAGGAGAGAUCAAAGGGCAGGAGGAGAGGGAAGGCUGAGUUAAUUCCCCCACUCCCUCCCUUCCCUGCAAAGUAAUCCAGGCUGGCUGUGACCCUGGGAGGAAGGUUUAGCCUUUUCCACCAGUCCUCUCCUUUCAUUGUUGUUUUUUUUGUUUUUUGUUGUUUUUUUUUGUUUGUUUUUUUGCUUUUUAGGGCCACACCUGUGGCAAAUGGAAAUUCCCAGGCUAGGCAUCUAAUCAGAGCUAAGGCUGCCGGCCUACACCAGAGCCACAGCAACGCAGGAUUCAAGCCGCGUCUGCGACAUACACCACAGCUCAGGGCAACACCAGAUCCUUAACCCACUGAUGCGCGGCCAGGAAUCGAACCGGAAACCUCAUGGUUCCUAGUCAGAUUCGUUUCCACUGCGCCACGACAGGAACUCCCAGUCCUCUCCUUCUGGAUUCCAGUAAGUACUGGAAGCACUGUUGCUACUGAGCCCAGUUGCUCCAUGACCCCCUGUGCUCUCCUUCCCUCUUUACAUCCUUGUAAAUAGUUCCUUUGUCAUUGGACCAUCUGUACUGCCUCUCAGCCAUCCAUCCUGCAAGGUUUAGUUUGGCCUUGGGCCCUAUCAGUUUGCUGCUGCUUUUAUAUUUAAUUUUUCGUAUUUUUUUUCUUUUUUCCUUGCUUUUUAGGGCUGCACCUGCAGCCUAUGGAAGUUCCCAGGCUGGGGGUCAUUCGGAGCUGCAGCUGCCAGCCUACGCCACAGCCACGGCAACGCAGGAUCCUUAAUCUACUGAGCGAGGCCAGGGAUGGGACCCGCAUCCUCACGGACAUUAUGUCAGAUCCUUAACCUGCUGAGCCACAAUAGGAAGUCCCUUCUUAUUUAUUUUUUGAAAAGAUUUCCAUGCCAACAAAAGGAUAUGCAGUAAAGUUUCCCUUCCUCUCUUUCUUGAACACCCAGUUCUCCCCACAGGCAACAAAUGAAAUAUUUUGCGUCUUUACAAAUUGUGGUUAAAUGUACAUCAUAUAAAACUUAGCAUUUUCAUCAUUUUUUAAAAAUUUUAUUUUUUUGCAGAAUAAAAUACAUUUAUUUAAACAUAAUUACAUUCACACAGAUUAUUAUAUCGUGGAUCUUAAGAAACAGAUUAAGUGACUCCCUCUGGAGAAGUGGAAUGGAAAAUGUGCUGAGACAAAUAGGAAAUUUAUUCUAUACUUUAUCCCAUUGUGUAUGGCUUUCAUCUUUACUAUUUAGUAUUAUCUAUUACAUUUCAAUUUCUCUUUAAAUAUUAGCAUUAUAUUAAAAUUGUGUAUAUUGUGCAACUAAAAUUUAUAAAGAAGAAAGCCUUAUAUACCAUCAUUUUCAUCAUUUUUAAGCAUACAGUUCUGUGGCAUUAAGUGCAUUCUCAUUAUCACCAGCACCCAUCUUCAGAACUUUCUCAUCUUUCCCAUCUGAAAAUUUACCAUUUUCCUGAUUUUAAACGUACUGAACUCGUUGUAAGGAAGGAAAAUAAUUUUUCCUCUACCCUUCUAGGUUCUUGGCUGAGACACCCCCAGUAAUGAAAGAUUAACAAGAGAAAAAACAAAUUUAAUUUUGUACGUACAAGGGUCUCAAAGAUGUGAGACUCAAUGAAGUGAUCAAAGCAGGCAUAAAAUCUCCAAGAGGUUUAUUUCCUGCUUCCAGAGGGACAAAGGACAGUCAGAGUAUCUGUCGUUCUUGUACCAGCUGUUCCUUAAGUAACUUUAAUUCAAGAUAAUCCAUAUGCGGGAGUUACCAUCAUGGCUCAGGGGAAACGAAUCUGACUAGCAGCCAGGAGGACACAGGUGCUAUCCCUGGCCUCACUCAGUGGGCUAAGGAUCCCGUGUUGCCAUGAGCUGUGGUGUAGGUCCCAGAUGAGGCUCAGAUCCUGAGUGGCUGUGGCUCUGGCGUAGCCCAGCAGCUGCAGCUCUUAUUCCAUCCCUAGCCUGGGAACCUCCAUAUAUCAUGGGUGUGGCCCUAAAAAUAAUAAUAAUCAAUAUGCCAAAGUGUCAUAUUUUGGGUUGAUCUGUCCUGAACUCCAUCACCAUUAAACACAAAUUCCCUGAAAUAGAUUUUUGCAGCUCCGUCCGGAGACAUCUGAUGCCAAUCCAAGCAUAUACUAUAAAUAAAAAUCACAAAUGGUAGCUUAUUUUAUACACUGCAUCUUGCCCUUUUCUCUUAACAUAUCCUGGCUAUCAUUACACAGCAAUCCAUACUGCACGUCUCAUCCUUCUGUCUGCCUUUUCUUGAACAGAUAUGCCUUGUGUGUUUGGCCCUUCCCACAUUGGUGGGAACUGAGGGUGUUUUCAAGGGUAUAGCUUAGCAAUGUUUUGCUUCUACGCUCCUGUUUCCUCUUCUGGUUCAUGAUCCUGCAUCUCCUGCUCUGCUCCCCCAUGAGGAGACCCACCACCACGUGACUUUCGGGCUUUCUAGUUUUCUGGGUUCCCAACUUGCUGUCCCCUCUGAGGAGAUUACCUAUGCCUUUAGCCCUGGCUCUGCAGUGACCCCAACACAUGUCUCCUGGGCCUGGCAUCCUCCCUGGUGGCCUGUGUUCCAGAUAUGACAAGCCAGUGACACAAGGUAAUCAAAAAGACACAGAUGGUCCCAUGGCAUCCACAGGUGGGAGUGCCCAUGCCGCACCUGCAGGGGGCCUAGCUUGUGUCCGUGUCUGCAGAGGCCAGGAACUCAGCACUAGGUUUCCAAACUUUAUUCAGUCCCAGUUGAAUUUGCCGGCACCUGCUCUGGGAGGCAAAGCUGCCUCGAAGCCUAUUUAGCUUUCCAUCCAUAUCACACACUGUUUUUCCUCUCCACCACUGCCACACCAUUCCCAUCUUCUAAUUAGAGAAAGAAUUAUAGAAAAAAAAA
rnacentral:lncRNA from 1 species